rnacentral:rRNA from 1 species
AUGGGAGGAGCUUCGUCUAGCACACAGAAUUGGUUUGAAGUGGAUGUUGGCAACAAGCGUCAAAAGAAUCGGCUGUUGCGACAUGAUUGCAAAGCUCACUUGAUUGUUGGGGUCAGAGGCAAUAAAUGGGAUGUAUCACAUUUUGUUGCAGAGCAUACGCACCCUCUAAUGCCACAGCCGGAGCUUGUACGCUACUACCGCUCACACCGCAAAAUCCUGGAAGAAGAUAAGGAUCUCAUAAUGACUAUGCAUGAUGUGAACUUCUCAACUUCGUCGUGCAUGGGAAUGCUUGGAAGGGUGCGUGGCGGAGACUGCAGGACACUACCAUAUGUCAAGAGGGAUGUUUCAAACUUUCGGUCCAAUCUGUGA